GAAAAGCCCAGCACCGAAGCCUGCGGCAGUUUUGCUGUUAGGCAAUGUGGUGUUUGGGCCGGCUCGUGGGAUUGCCACUCCAUUCGAAGUCCAGCAUUGAGUAUGGUCACUGGAUUUGGCCCAGAGAGGGUGAAAGGCCCGUACGAAUGGAGGUCCAGACAAGUAAGGCAGUUCACCAGGCCGGCCUUAGAGUCGGGUUGUUUGAGAAUGCAGCCCAAAGCGGGUGGUAAACUCCAUCCAAGGCUAAAUACUAGCACGAGUCCGAUAGCGAACAAGUACCGUGAGGGAAAGUUGAAAAGUACUUUGAAGAGAGAGUAAACAGUACGUGAAACCGCAUGCAGGUAAACGGGUGGCGUCAAGCUGCGAGCCCGGAGGAUUCAGCUGGCUAGGAUGUUGUGUAUGCGCCUGGCGCAUCUAUCAGUCGGAGUAGGGUGUGGUAGUCCACUGGGAUACGGUGGGCCCGGCCGCAAGGUCGGGAUAUGUGUACCGGGCGGAAGCCGGAGCAUGCUAUCCAUCUGUUGGACUGUCUAGUCAGUGCACUUUCUCUGUGGUGAACACCACGACCGGUGGUAUUGCCAGUCUGCUGUAGCCAAGUCGUAUUCAGUGGGUUCUUGUAAUCAACUGGGUGCGAUCACAGGCAAACUCAGUAAACGGCGUAGGGGUGUUUCGGCAUCUCUACGUGAUAUCGGCUACUGGUUGUCAACGGGCCGGCCUGAUGAUUGUUGUAAUCGUCAUUGGGUGGUCUGGUGGGCUAUGGUGGUAUGCAUAACUGUGCAAGGCACCGGAGUUCUCGGCCUCAGAUGCAUUCUACGCACACAUUACAAGUGGAGUGGGGUGCCGUUGUGUAGCCUGCCUGUUGUUGGGUCUGAUUGUCGUGUCGCCUGCGCAAAGUGGGCCCGGCGGUGGCCUGAUGUGGGAUGGGUUGCGGAUGGUGCCUCCUGUGUAGGGUGCUGUUGGCCAAAUAGUCAGUGGUGUAGUGGUAGACGAGCUACCCGACCCGUCUUGAAACACGGACCAAGGAGUUUAACAUGUAUGCAAGUCAUGGGGUCCUACGAAACCCAAAGGCGCAAUGAAAGUAAAGCUUCGACCUGUUCUCGGAGUGAGGUGAGAUCCUGCCGUUACUCGCAUCAGCCUUAUGUCAGCAUCAGGCUAAGAGCGGUGGGCGCAUCACCGGCCCGUCCCAUGAUGUGGCCAUUGGAUGUCUGCGGUCGUUGCUUGCAGCG
rnacentral:rRNA from 1 species